rnacentral:misc_RNA from 1 species
UUUCCGUAGGUGAACCUGCGGAGGGAUCAUUACAAGUGACCCCGGUCUUACCACCGGGAUGUUCAUAACCCUUUGUUGUCCGACUCUGUUGCCUCCGGGGCGACCCUGCCUUCGGGCGGGGGCUCCGGGUGGACACUUCAAACUCUUGCGUAACUUUGCAGUCUGAGUAAACCUAAUUAAUAAAUUAAAACUUUUAACAACGGAUCUCUUGGUUCUG